ACAAGAACUCAAAACAGGUCCUAAACUCACUCCAGCACAAGUGAAUCAAACCCUCCAAACAAUCCAAAACAUUUAACAAGCAAAGAUGAAGUUUGCUGCAAUUUUUGUUUCCAAUCCAAACGCAUUGACAUGGGACAAGUCCAACCAAAAUAAACACACAUGCAAUGGACUUAGAACCAUGUUAUUAACAUCAUCCAAAUGUACAAAAUCAGCGAAAGAAUAUGAACUUGGGGGAUUGAAGGUUUCGGUCAAUCAAAA
rnacentral:lncRNA from 1 species